rnacentral:rRNA from 1 species
UACAGAGGGUGCAAGCGUUAAUCGGAAUUACUGGGCGUAAAGCGUGCGUAGACGGUAGCGUAAGUCGGGUGUGAAAGCCCCGGGCUCAACCUGGGAAUUGCAUUCGAGACUGCUCUGCUAGGGUGCGGAAGAGGGAAGCGGAAUUUCCGGUGUAGCGGUGAAAUGCGUAGAUAUCGGAAGGAACACCAGUGGCGAAAGCGGCUUCCUGGUCCAGCACCGACGUCAGGCACGAAAGCGUGGGGAGCGAACAGG